UAAUUUAAAUUAAUGAUUUUAUUUAAGUAUUUGAUUUUUAAUUUAUUUAAAUCAUGUAUCUAUAUCUACUACAAAAUAAAUAAAUGGGGAAUGGGGUGAGGAUGAGGGAAAUUAUUCUCCACAUGGGGAUUCCCCAUCCCCACCCCACUAAUGCUGCGUUUACUUACCGAAUUGGGGAAUUGGAAUCCGGAAUCGAAAUAAUUGAUAGCGUUUACUUCGCAAAAUUAAGGCAGGAAUCAGAAUCGGAAUGGUGGGACCCACUACUAUUUAGGAAUGGGGAAUGGGAGAUUGAUUCCCAUGGGGGAGGUGGGAAUCAGUCUCCCAUUCUCGGGACUUCCCAUUUUACCCCCAAUGAUAUUACAAUAUUCCUAAAAUACCCUCAUUGAAAUAAAAAAUAUAAAAACUGAAAAUUAAAAAAAAAAAGCAAAAUCCCUAGACCCGUUCUUCUCUUCGAAGCUGGAUGCCAUUGCCAUAGCCCUUCAUACGCCGUCGUUGACUCGUCGGUUUUAAAUCACACGCCGUCGUUGGCUCUUAAAUCGCUGGCCAUCGUCUUCGCAGCGACUUCCUGUCGUUGUCACUGGUCUCGUCAUCACUGAACUUCCCGUCACCAUCGUCUUUGCUCUGAAAUCACCGGUCUUGUUGCUUCGCCGCUCGUCUUUGCCUCCCGUUCACCGCCGAUCGGAAGCUUCUCAUCACCAUCGUUGCCAUUUGUUGAUUUUGGACCAUACAAAUUUUAUAUUUAUAAUAAUAAAAUUAACCAA
rnacentral:lncRNA from 1 species